rnacentral:tRNA from 2 species
GCCUAGGUAGCUCAGUCAGAAGAGCAUGAGAAUCUUAAUCUCAGAGUUGUGGGUUCGAGCCUCACAUUGGGUA